rnacentral:RNase_P_RNA from 1 species
GCAGUGGGCCAGACGAUCGCCCGCCUUCGCUCGCUCCGCGAGCUUCGGCGGGGCAAGCCCGUUGAUGGAAUCACCAUCACGAGCCUGCUCCGCCGUAGCCCGCGAAGCGGGCGGAGGCGAGAGGAAAGUCCGAACUCCGCAGGGCAGUGCGCCGGCUAACGGCCGGUCAGGGCAACCUGAAGGAAAGUGGCACAGAAAAUACACAGCCCACGUUGGCGGGCCUGAAAAGGCCCGCCCUACGGUCGUCCGUAGGCCGGCCCUUUCAGGGCCGGCGGCAGGCAAUGGUGAAAAGGUGCGGUAAGAGCGCACCGCGCCCGUGGCAACACGGGUGGCAGGCAAAACCCCGCAUGGAGCAAGGCCAAAUAGGGAAGCGAUAAGGACGGCCCGUCCGAAGCUUCCGGGUAGGCUGCUGGAUCCCGCCAGUAAUGGCGGGGCUAGAGGAAUGAUCGUCACGCCAUAGCCGCGGCCGUGAGGCCGCGGCGACGGCGGACAGAAUUCGGCUUACGGUCCACUGCGGCG